rnacentral:lncRNA from 1 species
CCAAAAUCCUCACGCACAUAUCCUCUGAUUUUGGCAUCUCAAAACCUGAUCAUAUCAGCCCUUCAAUGCCCCUUCAGACCCAUGUUUAAAUAGGAAGAGAGGAUAAGGUUUAGGUGAAGAGAUAAGAGUCCAAACUCCUUUGGACUCUACUUUUUUUGUGCCACCCACCUACACAUCUUUUGCACCAAUCUUUCCCAUGAAAAAACUCUCUUGGGUGUGAACUUAUUGCACACUAAAAAGAGGAGUGGGGCAUGGGGUAUUUAGGCAUCAAAUCUGAUUUGGGCGUGGAGCUUUCUUAUGGCAUG